rnacentral:tRNA from 1 species
GAUGUGAUAGCUCAGUAGGUAGAGCGAUGGACCUAUAAUGCGUAUGCUAGGUACUUGGGUCACGGGUUCGAAUCCCGUUCACAUUCCCC